rnacentral:rRNA from 1 species
GACGAACGCUGGCGGCGUGCUUAACACAUGCAAGUCGAGCGGUAAGGCCCUGCGCUUUCCCCGAGCGGCGAAGGGGCGAGUGACAGGUGAACACUUUGCUCAUCACUUUGGGAUAACUCCGGGACAUCGGGGCUCAUACGCUAAUUGACCACUAUAUACAUCUGCUGGUGGUGGAAUGGUCCGGCGGUGAUGGAUGAGCUCGCGGCCUAUCAGCUGGGUGGUGGGGUAGUGGCAUACCAAUGCUUAGACGGGUAGCCGGCCUGAGAGGGUGGCCGGCCACACUGGGACUGAGAGACGGCCCAGACUGCUACGGGAGGCAGCAGGGGGGAAUAUUGGACAAUGGGCGAAAGCCUGAGCCAGCAACGCCGCGUGCGGGAUGACGGCCUUCGGGUUGUAAACCUCUUUCAGCAGAGACGAAGCGCAAGUGACGGUACCUGAAGAAGAAGCACCGGCUAACUACGUG